CCCCGCGGCCUAAACGGCCCCUCCUCCCGGCGUCCGAUACCCCGCCGGGACGACCCCUCCGAAAGCUUCGCGGGCCCCGGCAUCGCUGAGCGCCGUCACUCGGAUAACCUCGCUUACUGCCGGGCUUCGUGCACUGUUCCGAAAUUCAUUCAUUUCAGAUAAGGGAAAGCGAGAGGCUAUAUACCCCAACUUCGAAAUCACAAGCAUUGCACUUCUUAUGCUACAUCACUCCCUAGCUCCAGAAACUGCUCGGCUGUACCAUCCCUACAACCAACUAAACCUCUUUUGCCAAAGCGUGUCUGUCUGGAUCCAGUAGAGCUGGUGGAGCUUUUCAUGUACAGCCUGAGCAGUUUAUGAUAAUCACUUUCUCGUACCAUGCUUGUGCUGAGUUCUCACAACUACUCCUAUAUCCAAUACCUGACAGAGAAGGCCUAUGAAGUUUUGGGAAAGUCUCCUUGUUGAAGCAUGCACAGUCAUAAGGAAGUAAGAAAUUUAUGUGUAGCAAAGCAGAGUAGUUCUAGGAUUGGGGUAUAGAACUGAAAUGCAUAUAUUUAAUUGUAACUGUAACCAGGGACAUUGCCAUUGCCAUAGUUCCUUGUAGAGUGAGGUUAAGCUGGCAUAGAAAGAGUGUGGGAAGUUUGUUACUGUUUUAGGGUACAAGACUUACUGUUACAAGACCUCAAAGGACUAACUCCUUUCCAGAAGCGUUUCUUGUGCGCAAAAAGUAUGCAGUCAGCAAUCUGAUGCUGCCUGCACUGAAGAAGUGAGCAAUCAGGAUUCAUUGAUAGUUGUAUAAGCUCAGAUAUGCUGAAGGUGGCUGCAGUAUGAACUGCCAAGAAACAUAAGGCACUAAAAAGGGUGAUUUUUUGUAACAAAAAAACAGAAGUGCAAUUUCUGUCUGACUCGUUGAAAAUAUGGUAGUAAACUUUUGUGUCUGUACCAACUGAAGAAAUACUCAUCUCCCUGGGAUUGUUUAAAAUAAUUGGAUGAAUAUUCCCAGCUAUCCUGAUUACAUUUUGAGAGCUCUGCGGAG
ensembl:lncRNA